ensembl:lncRNA
CUGACUGACUGACUGACUGACGGGCCGAUGGACCGGCCGAGGGGAGGGAGUACUGACGGACGGACGGAGGGACAGACGGACUGACGGACGGGGUUGGCCUAGAGCGCCCGGGGCCUCGGGUGGACGGCGGCCGCGGGAGGACGGCUUCCCAGCAGUUGGCAGCCGCGGGCCUGGCGUCCGGUGGUGGAAGACCUUAGUCUUCGGACCCUGUCCCAGGCAUGACCCGUUCAAAAGCCUCCCUUCCAGAUGGUCACUCUCUGCCCCGGCGUGUCACGUGGUGAUGCUCUGACUUCCGUUCCAUGCCCUGCUGUCUGAGGCUCCUGACCGGCCACCAAACCUGCUGAUAAAAAGUGGGUUAGUGCCUGCAGUGACCAGAAGGUGCUGGCACGUCUAAGGGCUCAGACUUGUUUCCGAGGCACCAGAGUGAUUUAGAAAACUUUUCUGACACAAGCCCCUUUACGAAAAGUAGGAAAAGGUAGCAUAUGAAAGCACAUGGAACAAACCAACACGUGGACCCAGGCACAGCUUGCAACAGCUGGUAGAGAAGUCCCCCCAGCGCAGCCUCAGACACCAGGCCGGUCUUCGCCUUGGGCGCGGUUCUUGUUUGUGUUGAUGUCUACGAGAAAACUGAGCCUCACACGUGUGGCUGGUCUGGAAAGGUGGAAGAGGAAGACGGAUGCAGAGGAAGGGACCAGGCUGGGAGGUGUAGGCUUGCCCUGUGACCAGCUCCGGGGGCAGUGGUGGGUGCGGUGUGACCGGGAAGGGCAGGUGAGGUGCUGUGGGCCUGCUGCCGCAGCUCAGAAACAAACACAGUCCUUUUAGGCACAGAAUUCUCUGUCAAUGAAUGGAAGCUUGCUAUAUACACGGUACAGCGGAAACGCAGGAAAGGAGGGGAAACCAAAGUGACCAGUGUGACCAGCCCUGGGUUUGUGCUCAUGCUGUGGACUGCCAGACCCUCGUCCAGCUGUCUCCGACCCGUCGCUGUGGCCACCUUGUACACACAGGCUGCAGAAAAUUCCACCAGGGUCUGGAGUCUGGGGCCCCGGGGAAGGGUCUGGAACCGUAUCUGUCCGUCCGCUGAGCCGGUUUUGUUACCUUUGUAUCAGAGGGAACGCAGACAGUUCCAGAGCUCCUUGCUCCGCCCUGCUCCUCCCUCUCCUCUUCCCCCUCCUCCCCCGCCUCCUCCUAGAUGAAAGGUGAAGGUGAAGUCGCUCUGUCCUGUCCGACUCUUNNNNNNNNNNNNNNNUGUAGCCCACCAGGCUUCUCCGUCCAUGGGAUUUUCCAGGCAAGAGUAUUUCCUUCUCCAGGGGAUCUUCCUGAACCAGGGAUCAAACCCGGGUGUCCUGCACUGCAGGCAGAUGCUUUACCCCCUAAGCCACCAGGAAGAAGAUCAGGAAGGUGAGAAAAGGAAUAAAAAGUGGUUAGGCAGAGAGAAAUGAGAUGGUACAGAAAACGGAGUGCAGAAUCUUAAACAUGGGACACCAGGAAAGUCCCAAACGUAAUUUUAAAAAUAAUUAUUUACAGUAGCAUCAAAUGCACAAAUUCCUAAAAGUAUAAGUACUACUAAAACUAAUGAAAAAGUAGAGAAUCUGAGUAGACCUAUCAGUUCAGUUCAGUUCAUUUCAGCUGCUCAGUCGUGCCCGACUCUUUGCGACCUCAGGAAUCGCAGCACGCCAGGCCUCCCUGUCCAUCACCAA